CGACCGAGGGAAUACACACACACACCCCAUGGAGCAUUUCCCCCUCGUGAUGAGGGCUCGCCUGGAAAGGCGACAACGCAACCGUGAGCAAUGUGGAUACUACUGGAGAGCCUGGACAAUCAUAAAAUGGUUCCUCUGCAUACUUGCCAUGAUAGUUGUGUUAGGACUAGUCCUAUAUUUUAUGUAUCCAUGGUCAGCACACAGCAUGUUAGCCAUGUGCACCCCAGCCAUUUGAGAGGGAUGAAACACAGCCUCUGCAUCCAGAGAGUGUACCACAAAACGUCUCUUACACCACCUUAUUUUUUCCUAGGCACUACUACUGGUUGUACUCGUAUCCUACGGAACACGUGCAGUUACGGUGCUUACAAUAUCUCGUAUUGUCGCAUAGUCGGUGCCCCUGGAAGAAUCCUUUCUAACGUAGCAUUCCCUGAUGUUAACCAUAUUUCCCUCCAACUGGCCUGGCCCAGUGA